ensembl:snRNA U6 U6 spliceosomal RNA
GUGCUCACUUUGGCAGCACAUCUACGAAAACUGAAAUGAUACAGAGAAGAUUAGCAUGGCCCCUGCACAAGGAUGACACGUAAAAUAAAAAAAUUAAAAAAAAAGAU